rnacentral:rRNA from 1 species
GCCNUGCCGCGUGUGUGAAGAAGGCCUUCGGGUUGUAAAGCACUUUCAGCAGUGAGGAAGGCGGUGCCGUUAAUAGCGGUAUCGUUUGACGUUAGCUGCAGAAGAAGCACCGGCUAACUCCGUGCCAGCAGCCGCGGU